AUUGAACGCUGGCGGCAGGCCUAACACAUGCAAGUCGAACGUGUGGCGGAAGGGUGAGCUAUGUCUGGGACACUGCCUGCUGGAUGGGGACAACUACUGGAAACGGUAGCCAAUACAGCAUACCUGUGGAUAUGUCGAGAUGGGAUUAGCUUGUAGGUGGGGUAAAGGUUCACCUAGGCGACGAUCCCUAGUUGGUCUGAGAGGAUGACCAGCCACACUGGAACUGAGACACGGUCCAGACUCCUACGGGAGGCAGCAGUGGGGAAUAUUGCACAAUGGGCGCAAGCCUGAUGCAGCCAUGCCGCGUGUAUGAAGAAGGCCUUCGGGUUGUAAAGUACUUUCAGCGGGGAGGCGUUACCCGCAGAAGAAGCACCGGCUAACUCCGUGCCAGCAGCCGCGGUAAUAC
rnacentral:rRNA from 1 species